GGCUCUGUGGUGCAGUGGUCAGCACACCUAACACAUAUUCAGGAGACCUGCGUUCAAAUCGCAGUGGAGUCG
rnacentral:tRNA from 1 species